CAAGCAGCUGCCACUCCCCAGGAAAAAACAAAGUUGGAAGAACAAGGGAGCUGUUCUCCGUGAUGAUGUUUACACCAUCAACCUUAAGUUUUGCUUACCCAAAAAUAUGUACCCAGCUGUUGUCCAAUGGGCUCAUGGGCCAGCCCAACUGUCAAAACAUUCGAUGAACUCCCUGAUUGAUAAAUACUUUGAAGCACCAGGCAUUACUACUCUGACACAGAAUUAUUGUAGAUCUUGCACAAUAUUGGAAGAUUGUUAAAACCGCAUCUAAUCACCUGGCCAAGCCCCAAUACCCC